rnacentral:rRNA from 1 species
CCUACGGUGGGCUGCAGUGAGGAAUAUUGGUCAAUGGACGAGAGUCUGAACCAGCCAAGUAGCGUGAAGGAUGACUGCCCUAUGGGUUGUACACUUCUUUUAUAUGGGAAUAAAAUGCUCCACGUGUGGGAUUUUGUAUGUACCAUACGAAUAAGGAUCGGCUAACUCCGUGCCAGCAGCCGCGGUAAUACGGAGGAUCCGAGCGUUAUCCGGAUUUAUUGGGUUUAAAGGGAGCGUAGGUUGAUUGUUAAGUUAGCUGUGAAAUUUUGAGGCUCAACCUUAAGAUUGCAGUUGAAACUGGCAGUCUUGAGUACAGUAGAGGUGGGCGGAAUUCGUGGUGUAGCGGUGAAAUGCUUAGAUAUUACGAAGAACUCCGAUUGCGAAGGCAGUUCACUGGACUGGAACUGACACUGAGGCACGAAAGUGUGGGGAUCAAACAGGAUUAGAUACCCGGGUAGUC